UCUGUAGAGCUCACCUAAAUUAGAAGUUUUGUUUUCUUGGCAACAAACCCAGUCGUCUUCAAGAACUCAGUCCUGCCCAUGUGCAUUGCUACCAGUCUUAGUCUACCUCUGCCCUCAUCAGUGCCUGCCCUGAAGGUGCACACAAAACAGUCUUCUCGUGAGCACAGUGCUGCGAUGCUCGGUGGCGCACAGGCACACGCCAGCCAACCUAGCGUGCAAACACAUUCUGCCCACCAAAUCCCCCACGCAGAGAAAAGGCCAUUUCCAGCUCACACAAGACAGUCUGUAUGUAGUAUUUUACCUUGACUUCAGGGAAUUAUAGAGCCGAAUUCCAUCGGCCGCACCACAAAUCUGAACUAAAUCCUCCUUUGUUAGCUUUAAUAAGUCGGCACCUGGAAAACAGCAGAGAUCCUCAAAUAAGCAAGAGAGGGAUGGACAGGGCUGCUGUGAAGCAGCAGGCUUCUCCACACGCUUCUGUCCUUCUGCCCAGUCAACGGGUGUCCUGGAGUACACACGCCCACGACUGACACAGGAACACACAUCUGUAUUUUAGAGAAACAACAUGCUGUGGUAACCAGGUGCCAGAAGCUGAUAAAUCAGCAACCAUGGCCAGAAAGCCCGCCUGCUUCCAAUACAAGGCUCCUACACUGCUUUUCUUUCCUUGUUGCUGGGCUGUGGAUAACCAUGUUUCUGACUCCCCCUAAAGCCCUGAUGUUGCUUUUCUUCUUUUUAAAAACAUAUAUGGAAUGCUGACAUCUGGGGAACUUGCCCAAAGUCACCAGUGAGUGAGAAGCAAAGUCGAGAGCGGGUCUCAUUACAGCACAGUGUGCAACAUCAAGUUAGCCACUGUAAAGUUCCAUCGCUACAGCCUGUUCUAAUGAGAGCUCAGCAGAAGAUCACUCUGUUCCUUAAGAUUGCUUCCGCUCAAAUGAAAGAGCCUGACAGAAUCCUAGCUUAUAAAGAAAUGAAAACCAGAGAAGCCUAAUGCCCAUGAGACGUGAACCUCUAUGGAGUCACUCUUGGAAUGAAAGAGCAGAGAAAGAAGUUCUCUGUCUACUAGGGUCACACAGCUCUGAAGCAGCGCUUCCAGUUGUGACAUCUGUAAUUCAUGAAGAGAUGUAUCCCAGCUGGUGAUGGUAAAUCCCAGCUCUGACACAUGCCUGACCACCUAAGAGAUCUCACUGUCUGCUAGUCCCUUAAGUGUUGCGGCUCAGGUGAUGUGCCAAAGAGCAGCUCAGCGUGAACCCUCCAAAGGAAGCCCCCAGGAUAAGGAAAAUGCAGAAUGCCAAGCCAUGUGAUCACUGCGUACAACGAAAAGUCUUACAGCUCCAUAGAACAUGCAGUAACAUGCAAGUCCCAGAUAUCAAAGGCUGUUCUGUCUGCUCUUCAUCCACUUGCUGUGUAUAAGGGCUCAGGAAACCCAUCUCUCAUACUGAAUUCUAUAAUUUCUAGCUUUUCACACAUUAAAGACUUUAUUUAAUCACAUGAAAA